GUAUAGUGACACAGUAACAGAGGGAUUGAGGGUCAUGCUCAGUGAGUUUACGUUAGAGGGAGUGGGGUAUAGUGACACAGUAACAGAGGGAUUGAGGGUCCUGCUCAGUGAGUUUACAUUCUGAGUUUACAUUCUAGAGUGAGUGGGGUAUAGUGACACAAAGGGUAAAAGUAGGAGUACGACUCCCAAUAAUAUACAGUGUCUAUGAGCAGGCCGGCCUUAGGGGUGUGUGAGCUAUGCACAGGGCGCCACGGAGCAGGGGGAGCCGUGCGGCCAACACAGCUCACACAUG